CUCCAUUUUAUAUAUAGUAUCUCUUGCUUACUAAAAAAAAAUUAUUUAUUAGGUUAAAUGUAUUAGGUUACGUGUAUUUUCCAAGUCUUCUCAAUUAAGUCGAAUUUCACAUUGUUGUCACUUACAAGAUUGAAGGAUCAUUCACAAUGAUGAACACUUUACAUAUACCUUUAUCUUAUUUUUUUCAAAAACCUUACAAAAUUUGCAAUUAAAAUUUGAAUUUUAUUUUCAUUAUCCAUCUCUCUACAACUACUGGUAGUCCUUCUCAUUCAAAUCCUCUCCGCAUCCCUCUUUUCAUUCCAAUAUAACCUCUUUCAGAGCCUCCGGUCUCCGCCACUGGCGAAACCAUAAACAAAAAGGCGAACUCAAAAAUAAGCAGAGAGAAGAGAUUUUGAAGAAAAAGGACGUGGAGAAAGUCAAAAAGUGGCAGAAUGCAAUGGAAACAAAUUGGCGAAAAUGAUUGAGACAGAGAGAUAUGCAAUAUGAAAUAUAAUGGGUGUUUUUUUUUCUUAUUCGUUGAAUUUUGUUUUAUUUGAAUGGAAUCAAGUCAUAAUUAAUUUUUUUCAUAAAGAAAUCAUACUAAAUUGUACUCCCUCCGUUUUUUAUUAUAAGUCGUUUUAGACUUUUCACACAGAUUAAGAAAAAUAAUAAUUGUUGUAUGAAAAUGAGAAAUUAUGAAGGUUUUUACAAAAUUAUCCUUCAUUAAUGACAUGUAAAAAAUAAAUUUAUAUAAUUGAAAGGAGAGAAAAUAAUAAAUAUUUAAGGAUAUAAUAGGAAAAAUAGCAUUAAUUAUUCAUUGGAAUUGUAAAGAGACUUAUAUUAAAAUACAAUUUUUUUUCCAAAACGACUUAUAAUAAAAAACGGAUGGAGUAAUCUUAAAAAAGAAAAUAUAUUGUAUAUGAUAUUUAGGAAAGAUCUUAUAAUUUUGGGAGGAGGUCUGUCUAGCAGAAUUUUUUAGCAUUGUCAAUGUUGAAUA